rnacentral:tRNA from 1 species
GGAGAGGUGGCCGAGUGGUUUAAGGCGCACGCUUGGAAAGUGUGUGUGCUGUCAAAGGUACCGUGGGUUCGAAUCCCACUCUCUCCGCCA